rnacentral:rRNA from 1 species
AGCUACACAUGCAGUCGAGCGGUAGCACAGAGAGCUUGCUCUCGGGUGACGAGCGGCGGACGGGUGAGUAAUGUCUGGGAAACUGCCUGAUGGAGGGGGAUAACUACUGGAAACGGUAGCUAAUACCGCAUAAUGUCGCAAGACCAAAGUGGGGGACCUUCGGGCCUCAUGCCAUCAGAUGUGCCCAGAUGGGAUUAGCUAGUAGGUGGGGUAACGGCUCACCUAGGCGACGAUCCCUAGCUGGUCUGAGAGGAUGACCAGCCACACUGGAACUGAGACACGGUCCAGACUCCUACGGGAGGCAGCAGUGGGGAAUAUUGCACAAUGGGCGCAAGCCUGAUGCAGCCAUGCCGCGUGUGUGAAGAAGGCCUUCGGGUUGUAAAGCACUUUCAGCGGGGAGGAAGGCGUUAAGGUUAAUAACCUUGGCGAUUGACGUUACCCGCAGAAGAAGCACCGGCUAACUCCGUGCCAGCAGCCGCGGUAAUACGGAGGGUGCAAGCGUUAAUCGGAAUUACUGGGCGUAAAGCGCACGCAGGCGGUCUGUCAAGUCGGAUGUGAAAUCCCCGGGCUCAACCUGGGAACUGCAUUCGAAACUGGCAGGCUAGAGUCUUGUAGAGGGGGGUAGAAUUCCAGGUGUAGCGGUGAAAUGCGUAGAGAUCUGGAGGAAUACCGGUGGCGAAGGCGGCCCCCUGGACAAAGACUGACGCUCAGGUGCGAAAGCGUGGGGAGCAAACAGGAUUAGAUACCCUGGUAGUCCACGCCGUAAACGAUGUCGAUUUGGAGGUUGUGCCCUUGAGGCGUGGCUUCCGGAGCUAACGCGUUAAAUCGACCGCCUGGGGAGUACGGCCGCAAGGUUAAAACUCAAAUGAAUUGACGGGGGCCCGCACAAGCGGUGGAGCAUGUGGUUUAAUUCGAUGCAACGCGAAGAACCUUACCUGGUCUUGACAUCCACAGAACUUUCCAGAGAUGGAUUGGUGCCUUCGGGAACUGUGAGACAGGUGCUGCAUGGCUGUCGUCAGCUCGUGUUGUGAAAUGUUGGGUUAAGUCCCGCAACGAGCGCAACCCUUAUCCUUUGUUGCCAGCGGUUAGGCCGGGAACUCAAAGGAGACUGCCAGUGAUAAACUGGAGGAAGGUGGGGAUGACGUCAAGUCAUCAUGGCCCUUACGACCAGGGCUACACACGUGCUACAAUGGCAUAUACAAAGAGAAGCGACCUCGCGAGAGCAAGCGGACCUCAUAAAGUAUGUCGUAGUCCGGAUUGGAGUCUGCAACUCGACUCCAUGAAGUCGGAAUCGCUAGUAAUCGUAGAUCAGAAUGCUACGGUGAAUACGUUCCCGGGCCUUGUACACACCGCCCGUCACACCAUGGGAGUGGGUUGCAAAAGAAGUAGGUAGCUUAACCUUCGGGAGGGCGCUACCACU